AAACCGAGCGACGGAGCCAACGCCAAAACCCUCCCGCCCAAUCUGCCAUUCCCCUAACUCCAAUGGAAUCCUAGCAACCUAACUCCAUGCAUCAGAUCGUUCCAGAAAUCUCCACAGCACGAGACCUGGUUCCUUGAUCCGACAACCCGCAAAAGCAACUCGACUGGAACUUCUUCGUCCGGUGACGACACGGUGGAAAACUUGUGUGGUCUGGUUCGUCUUCUUUCCAUAGUUUCACUUCCAGCCUCGGUUGGUCCAGUCGCUGAGUGUAGAGAGAGAAUCGAAGCUAACAAGUUUUAUGUUUUGCGACGUUUCUUCGACGUCUUCUGGUGGAUCGAUCUGCUCUGCUCUGCUUUGUAGUUUUGUAUUUGAUUGGUGGAACCGAUCUUAACAAUUGAAGUUGAACUAGUGAGUUACGAGGAGAUUGUGAUACAGAACGAUUCGUAACCAUGUUUGGCUACUGGGGAAAGUCUCAUCAUCACAAGAAUGAUUCAUUGCAGCGUGAGGUGAAGUUCAACGAGCUAAAGGCUGCAAUUGGACCACUAUCGGGCCGUAUUUUGCAGUUCUGUACUGAUGCGUGCUUUAGGAGGUACUUGGAUGCAUGGAAGGGAAUAUUGUAGACAAGUUGGAAGAAACACUCAAAUGGAGGUCGACUUAUAAGCCUGAGGAAAUUAGUUGGCCUGAAGUUGCAGUUGAAGGUGAGACUGGAAAAGUUUAUAGAGCAAAUUUUUGUGACCGUCAUGGGAGAACGUACUGUUCUGAUAUUGAGACCAGCAAUGCAGCCGAGAUUCAACUGGAGGCUUCAAUUUCAUUCAUGGAUUGACAGAUCUAAUUGCUCAUGCUACUGCUACUGCUACUGCUCAUGCCACUACUACCGUUACUGCUCCUGACGAGUGCAGUAGAAGAACACGAGUAUGAGUGUAGCGAGUGCAGUAGUAGGAUUUGGCAAGUGCAGUAGCAGGAUUAGGCAAUGACGAGUUCAGUAGCAGAACACGAGGAGCGCAGUAGCAGGAUUAGGCGAUGACGAGCGCAGUAGCAGAACACGAGUACAAGUGCAGUAGCAGAACAUGAGUACAAGUGCAGUAGCAGAACUGGACGAGUAUGAGUGCAAUGCAGUACCAGGAUUGGACAAGUACAGUAGCAGGAUUAGGCGAUGACGAGUGCAGUAGCAGAACACGAUCGAGUACAAGUGCAGUAGCAGAACACGAGUACAAGUGCAGUUGCAGAACUGGACGAGUAUGAGAUUAUUCUUAGAAGAAAAAAAAGUAACAUAAAGGGAUUAGAAGUCAAAAAAAGUAAUUAAGGGUAAAAAAGUAAAUUAACUCAUGGCAUGUGGCAAGUGGAGAGCAGAUUGUCCUUAUUUGUAAGAUUUAAUCCUUAUAAAGGGAUUAGAAGUCAAAAUAAGUAGUUAAUGGUAAGAAAGUAAAUUAACUCAUGACAUGUGACAAGUGGAGAGCAGAUUGUCCUUAUUUAUAAGAGUUUAAUUCAAUCUUUAAAGGAUGUAAUUGUUAAGUCAUCUUUUGUCAAUAACUUAUAUGUAAUUUGUUAAAAAAAAUUAACGAAAAUCUC